rnacentral:ncRNA from 2 species
UUAUGUGGAAGAGGAGCACUACCCAGGUAGAUAAUUUGUGGAACCGCAAUUCCAAUACGAAUUAUUCAGGGGGAGUAGUGCCGAGGUAAGUCAAAUUUGCAGGGUUUGACUUGUCGGUUGACGUGGGUUGAGUCCCAUCAACUGUCAUCAGCAUUGUCUGAUGAAGAGCUUCUGAGGGU